GGAAGGAGUAGAGCCAGGAUCCAUCCCUUUCCAGACCUCAUUUAAGGGUUGGUAGUGGAGGUAAGGGUCUGUCGCUAGAGAUCUCUGCAUACCUGAGGUCUUCUGAGGGGAUCAGAAUUCUAUCCCAUACGAUGAAAUGUGACUGGAGUUGACUGUAUUUACUGUGGAAAAAGUAAAAUCAUUUUAGAAAUGCAUUUAAGUGGAAGAUGUUAUCUCCUUUGGCAUGUCUGCAUCACACACACAGGGGUGUGUAAGGUUCUAGGUGUACUGGAAGCAUCACUGUGCUUUGUUGAAGAGAAGAAAAAAGACUGGGGAGAAGGGAUUCCAUCGUCUCUUGAAGUUCAUAUUUGGUAGAGUUCUCCCUAGCAGAAGGCCUGUACAGUGCCUAGGUAACACAUGGAGUCAAAACAGGAAGAGAGGGAGGCAGAGCAGUACAUGAAUGUCGCUUAACCCCUAUGAAUCAGAAAGUAAAAGUAUUUUGUGAAUUUGAACUUAUUCUGUGUGUGAGUGUCUUGGAACAGUGUCAAAUAACUCUCUUUUUCAGGCAGCAAUUGUUAGUGUUGUCAGUGCCCUGCAGUAUCUUGUCUGUAAGCUUUUCUGAUCUAUUUGUGUGACUAUAGACCAG
ensembl:lncRNA